GUGGGGCAGGGGCUGGCAGCUCCUCGGCCAUCAUGGCGUACAGCGGCCUCCCGGUGCCUCUGAUGGUGAUGAGCGUGUUCUGGACAUCAUCGGCCUCCUGCUGCCCUGGUUCAUUUCCAAGGGUCCCAACCGGGGAGUUAUCAUCACCAUGUUGGUGACCUGUUCAGUUUGCUGCUCUCUCUUUUGGCUGAUUGCAGUUCUGGCCCAACUCAGCCCUCUCUUUGGACCACAGUUGAAAAAUGAAACCACCUGGUAUUUCAAGUAUCACUGUCCUUGAGGAGGAAGACCCGCUGCCCAGCCAUCGAGGUCAUGACGAGAAUCUCUAGAUGAGCAGUCACCUCCACACGGGGCCGCCU